rnacentral:rRNA from 1 species
CCAGCAGCCGCGGUAAUUCCAGCUCCAAUAGCGUAUAUUAAAGUUGUUGCAGUUAAAAAGCUCGUAGUCGGACUUCUGGCUGCGCAGCACGGUCCGCCGAAAGGUGAGCACUGUGCGGCACAGCCAUCCUCUCGAGGACGCCGUGUGCCCUUAACUGGGUGUGCGGUGGACUCGGGACCUUUACUUUGAAAAAAUUAGAGUGCUCAAAGCAGGCUAACGCUUGAAUACAUUAGCAUGGAAUAAUGGAAUAGGACUUUGGUUCCAUUUUGUUGGUUUCUAGGACCGAAGUAAUGAUUAAUAGGGAUAGUUGGGGGCAUUAGUAUUUAAUUGUCAGAGGUGAAAUUCUUGGAUUUAUGAAAGACUAACAUCUGCGAAAGCAUUUGCCAAGGAUGUUUUCAUUGAUCAAGAACGAAAGU